GAGGGUAUAGCUCAAUUGGUAGAGUGCUUGCUUAGCAUGCAUGAGGUCCUGGGUUCAAUGCCCAGUAUCACCG
rnacentral:tRNA from 1 species